CAGUCGCCGCGGUAAUACAGAGGGUGCGAGCGUUAAUCGGAUUUACUGGGAGUAAAGCGUGCGUAGGCGGCUAAUUGAGUCGGAUGUGAAAUCCCCGAGCUUAACUUGGGAAUUGCAUUCGAUACUGGUUAGCUAGAGUGUGGGAGAGGAUGGUAGAAUUCCAGGUGUAGCGGUGAAAUGCGUAGAGAUCUGGAGGAAUACCGAUGGCGAAGGCAGCCAUCUGGCCUAACACUGACGCUGAGGUACGAAAGCAUGGGGAGCAAACAGGAUUAGAUACCCGAGUAGUCCCUGUCUCUUAUAA
rnacentral:rRNA from 1 species